AGAGGGUUAGUCCAAAAUAAGACCUCUGAUUUCGACUCAGAAAACCGUGGUUAAAGCCCACGACCCCCUU
rnacentral:tRNA from 1 species